rnacentral:sRNA from 1 species
AAUGACAAAUUGUGUAUGACGAUCGCCAUAUUCUGGAUCCCAUUCAGCUACGACGUCUUGGCGUUCUGCUAAUAUUUGCGUUUGUUGCGCUUCAGACA